CUUGGAAGCUCUUGGACCAGAGGGUGCUUGUCCUGCCAUGGCAUUCCGGAGGACUGAGGGCAUGUCCAUGAUCCAGGCACUGGCCAUGACGGUGGCCGAGAUCCCUGUGUUCCUGUA